rnacentral:rRNA from 1 species
UACGAAGGGUGCAAGCGUUAAUCGGAAUUACUGGGCGUAAAGCGUGCGCAGGCGGUUCGACAAGUCUGAUGUGAAAGCCCCGGGCUCAACCUGGGAAUGGCAUUGGAAACUGGCGAGCUAGAGUGUGGCAGAGGGGGGUGGAAUUCCGCGUGUAGCAGUGAAAUGCGUAGAGAUGCGGAGGAACACCGAUGGCGAAGGCAGCCCCCUGGGCUGACACUGACGCUCAGGCACGAAAGCGUGGGGAGCAAACAGG